rnacentral:rRNA from 1 species
CUACGGGUGGCAGCAGUUGGGAAUAUUGGACAAUGGGCGAAAGCCUGAUCCAGCCAUGCCGCGUGUGUGAAGAAGGCCUUCGGGUUGUAAAGCACUUUCAGUGGGGAAGAAAGCCUUGGGGCUAAUACCCUCGAGGAAGGACAUCACCCACAGAAGAAGCACCGGCUAACUCCGUGCCAGCAGCCGCGGUAAUACGGAGGGUGCGAGCGUUAAUCGGAAUUACUGGGCGUAAAGCGCGCGUAGGCGGUCUGAUAAGCCGGUUGUGAAAGCCCCGGGCUCAACCUGGGAACGGCAUCCGGAACUGUCAGGCUAGAGUGCAGGAGAGGAAGGUAGAAUUCCCGGUGUAGCGGUGAAAUGCGUAGAGAUCGGGAGGAAUACCAGUGGCGAAGGCGGCCUUCUGGACUGACACUGACGCUGAGGUGCGAAAGCGUGGGUAGCAAACAGGAUUAGAUACCCGAGUAGUC